CACGUUCAGAUCGAACCUCUCUUUAGUUACAGAGAAAUAUUGAUGUCUCUCCGACUACGAUAAAGUAAAAUUGUCCCCACGGACUAGCAAACGUUGUAACAUGAUAAAGAUACCGUUUAACUUAAUACGUGAUCAAUGACGGGCAUUUAAGUUUGACACCUGGAUUUUACCUACUGCAUAGGUAUAAAAAUAGAUAAUGAUUUCAUGUAUUGCACAAGUUAUAUACCGGGAAAUACCCGUAACGUAAACAAUGAAAAACAAAAUAUAAAAUCAAAUCUGCGUUUUACUAUUUAAUAUAAUUUCGAUGAAACGAAUGAGUAGUUUUACAGCUGUUUACGACAAUGGUGGAUAAUACAAAUAUAAUCUUUACUGCAACAACCCUCAGACAGAUUGGAGAUUCUUUGUAUCACAUACAAGAGGAAGAGAUUUAUGAAUAUAAUCAGGAAAUCGUGGACGCGAUCAGAAACAUCCAGAAUUUGAUAUUGACAUGUUCUUAUUUUAUUGGAGCAGUCUUAUUAAUGUAGGAUGCAGAUAAAUCAGUAUACAAAAGAAGACAGACGAAAUUAAUUCAAAUAAUUCAGUCGGUUUGUAAAAUCAAUGAGUUAUCUUAUGUAGAGAAGUUCGCGUUGGUUUAAAUAAAACCAGAUGACAUUUACCCAUUUCUGUCUACUGCGAAUUAGACAAUAAAGCCAGAAAUAUGAACUUUUCUGGAAGGUAGUACAGAUUUGGACAAGUACGUUCUUUAUACUACGUUUGGAACAGCAAGAUGACAUGCCAACAGUAUCUAGAUUGUAACAGGGAAUCUAUUUCAUAAGUGCGUUGGUAUAUUUUAGUCUCAGCCCUGAUUAUUUUAUGGAGAGUAAUAUGACGAAAGUGGUCUAAAAAUAUUUUGUCAGAAAAUCAGCAUCUGUAAACAAUGUUGCGUUAUUAAUUUAUGGUGGGCAUGUAUUUAUUUGUUAUUCUUUUAGUUUUAUAGAUAUACUGUUACAUCUUAAACUGUACUCUUUGAAAAAUGUAAAAACAAAUGUCUAUAAAAAUACUCAUGCCAUUUGAUGUAUGUAUAUAUAAAUAUGCAUAUUUUUCAUGCGGAACCAUUCACAUUAUUGAAAUAUUUGUUAUAAUAUGCAGAAACGUAGUAUUUACGUCAUACAUGUUUCAUCUUUGCACAAUUCAGCAGUGAAAAGUAAACCUAAUCUUGGACAAGAAAUGUAAAACUUUAGAACGAUAUUUGAUUUAAAUUAAAGGCUCACAGGAUAAAUAUAUUCAUUGUUAAAUGGAUAUUAUAAUUUGUUUUGCAUUAACGUUGAUUCGUUUUAGCGGAAUUAAAUGAAAGAAAUUUGGCUUUAAAACUGUGACAAGACUAAAUGUUGGAAUUGAUUAUAUAUUAGAUGUUAAGUAUCUGAAACAAAAAAAAAACAUUCUUUUUAAGAUUCGUGAUGGGCGCCUAUUUUAGAAGCAAAAAAAAUUUAUUAUAAACAUCGACAUGGUUUGUUAUAGCAUCUGUUUCGAAAACGAAGAAAAUGCAAUAAACUCCAAGCUUAAUAAAAUGAUAGAAUGCCCUCUACAAUUGUUAACAUUUAGAUGCAUAAAAUCGCAUGUAUAUAUAUGCAUUAUUCGCUGAAACAUAUUGAGUAUUUCUUAUUAUUUUGUUAUUUUGUUAUUCAUAUUCGUUCAUAAUUUUUUUUAUUUUUUCGUUGAGGGCCUUUGAUUAGAUUAUUACUGCUAAAUGGAAGUGUUCUCGUUUUGAUUUCCAGUCAAAUCGAAUGCUUAAACACAUGAAUAAGUGACAAAUGUGAUUCAAAUAUUGUAACUAGUCAGUUUAUUGUUAUACAUUUUAUAAAUAAAAUUUUAUGUUACAAUCAA